rnacentral:sRNA from 1 species
UACAUUUUUAUACAUUCUUAAUCAAAAUAGAAUUAUAUCACCUACCCUUCUCCUUUUCCUUUUCCACCCUGUAGGUGAUUCUUUUUAAACCACUUGGAAACUGCAGGAGACAGGAAAGAGGACAGUAUCUAAUGAAGCUGUAUGUUUCUCUUGACUUCUGCAUAUUCUAGUUUGGUGGGACUAACAGUUUUCUCUCUUCUAGAUUACUUUGUAAAACACCGUGGUUUUUACAGGUGUCAGAACAGGCUUGGACAGGCUAAGGUGCAUUGUAUGGUCAAGCGUUCAUCAUGCCCAUGCUUUUAAGCUGUAUUCACCCUUUCAUGCACUGCCACAGGGCAGUCAGUCCAAAGUCACCUUUACUCUCAAGAAUGUUCAGUGUUCUUGACAUCUCAAUUUUAAUGAAAUGAGUUUUUUUUUUUUAAAUCAGAAGUGGAAUUAAAUAUGCUCUGGGGUCAGGUUAAGAAGCCUUUUGCUUAUCUAAGUCCUAACUUAAAAGAUCAUCCUGCUGCAUUUAUUCAGCCCGUGUAUUACUCCUAGAACAGUGAGCUGUAGGCUGAACUCUUUGAUAAAAUUGUAAGACCAAAAGAUCAAACUUUUCAAAGCAUCCCAGAACAAAACUCAGAAGUAUUUACAGAAAUAGAAGAAUGUCUAGCAAUAUGCCUGGUAUCUAAUUAAAGAGCACUGGGUACAUAAUGAAGCUAGAAAAGUGACCCAUGAUGAGGAGAACAAUCAGUUAAAUGAAAAUGAUCUUAUAGGGACAUUCGUGCCUGAAUUAGCUGAAAGGGACAUAAAACAGUAUUACAGUAAUGACCUACAUGUUUGAAUAGCAGACAUAUAGGACAUAUUUCUACUUUUAAAAACAAAAUUUUAGAGAUGAAAGCUGUAAUAAUAUUUGGGAUGAAUAAAAUGAACUAAGUAUAAUUCAUAGCAUAUUAGACAUGGCAGAAGGCUAGUGAAAGGCCCAGCUGUGGGAAGUGUUCCUAGUGUUGAGAAGAGGUGGCUCAGCAGUUAAGAGCCAGGACCCCUCGUGGAGAGGUCCUGAGUUUGGGUCCCAGCAUUCACGUGGGACAGCUCACAAGUGCCUAAAAAUUCCAGCACCAGGAGAUAUGACACUUUCUGACCUAAAGGUCACUCCCUCAUCCACCCAUACAUACUUUCCAACCUACCCACUCCCACAUCCUUAAAAAUAGUUACAAACAAACAAAAUUUGAAAGAAUGAAGACAUGAUGAUGAGAGAGUAAGUGAUCUAUGAGGUAAAUUUCCAGGGGUCUCAUAUACAUGUAAUGGAGUGAGCAAGGGAGAAGAAACAUACCUAUAGAAAAGAAAUUUGAAAAAAUAGUGGCCCACAUACUUGAAUUUGCUGGAAACUAUUACAACACACAUUCAAAAUACCCAGAAGCAGUAAGAAACUACCCAAAGCACAAUAACCGAACUGUUCAGAACCGGUGAUAAAGAGAAAAUCUUGAGAACAGCUACAAAAAACAAAACAAAACAAAACAAAAACCACUAAAAAGGCAAAAACUCCAGAAGUUUACAACGGCUCAGAGAUGACCUAUUCUAACAAUGCCUUCCAAGACCAGGAAUGAUACAAAGGUAUCUGUUCUUACUCAAUCAGUUAAGAAACUGAAAUAAAUCUGAUGAAAUUUAUCAUCUCUGAGAGUGCUCUCGGCCUCUUUCUUGUCCUUCUGCCUUCCACCCCGUUCCUCAGUGAGUCACUGGUUGGCCAUGACUAGAGAUUAGGUUGCAUGCUUUAGAACUCUACAAAUGGGGAAUCACAUGGUAUGCAUGCAAUUAGUCUGAAAUUCAGUUCAUCUUAGAAUCGAUGUGCAUUUCACUCUCUUCAGUCCCUAGGAUUUCAAUGUGUAUAUUAUGGUAACUUUCAGACAAACGUUAAUCAAUCAACAGGUCUGAGAGCUUGUUUGAUCUCUUGAGCACCGCCCCAAUCACCUGAAGAUAUCUCUUCCAAACUGUCAGCUGCUGGUGAUAAGAGUUUACAUCCUCAGAGUAAAAAUCUUGUGUUCAUUUCCUCAUUUUCUUUCCUCCCCACAGACAAAGAUAAACCAUUGCUAAACUUGUUCCUCCUUUUGGUUACUGCUUCCUCACAGACAGCCAUUUGCUUCUUGCUAGACACCCUACCCUUACUACAUACACCUCCUCCUCUGCCAACCUGUACAGAGAACAUGUGGACUGGACACUGGAGGGAAGUUUGAGUAGGUGAAUGAGGCGACUCUGAUUCCCUGGGGAAAGGGAGUUUAAAUUUGAUAAUCUCUUUUUCUUUUUAAUGAUCCCACCGGGAAAGAAAGCAGAGGAGUGGAGCCUCCAGAGACCAGGACUGAGGACCACAAGGACACAUGCUGAACACAAGGCUGUCUCUACAGUGCCCAUUCACUGUAAACUGUAAGCCACUGGGAAUGAUAAAGAGAUAGAAGACUGAAGGCUUUCUUCAUACUUCAUCUGGGAUUCUUGAUAUGGGCAAUAUUUAUUUUGUAUUAUGUGAGUCUUUUAGUUCCUAGGGUAAGGAAAGCACGAGAGAAGAAAACCAUAGUGCUGUAACCAACAGCUUAGCAACAGCUUUCCCAACACUGGAGGCCUCUAAUGAGUCCAUUUCCCUUCCCACCCCUUCUCUACUUCUCCUUUGACAGACUCUCCACACAGCCUGCUGGCCCCCACUCAAACUAGCCUCAAACUCUUGUUCCUCCCGCUUUACUCUUCUGAGCGUUGGGUUACAGAUGUGAACUACUAUGCCUGGCUACAAGUAUUUCUUCCUAUCAAACUGCCUAUCAAAAUGCUUGAGAAAUUACAACCUUCCUUCUCCUGGGCAGUUUUGUUCAUUGCUAUGUCUAGUGUGUUGAACCUAUACUAAGCAUGCAGUCGAUAAACCUGAUAAGCCGUUUCUCUCUGGUAAUCCAAGUCCAUCACUGCUUUAAAAUUACACACACACAUACACAUAUUCUCUUGCACAUGUAAGAUUUGCCUGAACUGGGUGUGGUAGUGUGCUCGUAGAAGGCUAAAGCAGGAAGGCUAUACUCAGCCUCAGUCUGCCCUCAGCCUUCUGUCUACAUGGUGAGACCUUGUUUAAAAAAGCCCUUUCUUGUUCCUCACAUUUCCCUAUUCACUUCAUAUUACACAUUCUUAGCAAUUAUUUAAUAGCUUUUACUCCAUUUUACAUGUGUGUUUUCCUUAUAUGCCUAUCUAGUCUAUAUAGUUAUAUUUGCAGUUAAAAGACAGUGCUUCAAGUACAUAUACACCAUGUGCUACAAUGUUGUAUGUGCAGAAAAAAAAAAAAGGACACUGACAUUGAUAGUGGUGGUGCUACCUGUAAUCUUAGCACCCGGGUGGACAGGCGUGAAGACUGUUCACAUCCAGCCUUGCCUGCAUGGUGAGUUUUAGGCCAGGCUGAGCUAGUGAGCUUGUCUUAAAAAAAAAAAAAAAAAGAGGAGGAGGAGGAUGAGGAGGAGGAGACAUCAGCAGAUAGUCAUAUUCUGAGUCUAUGCUCUUUCAAGAGAACUUAGAUACUAAAAUAUAUAUAUAUAUUGCUAUUUUACUCAUAUAUGUUUUUAAUAAAUUCCUCAAUUUUUAACUUAAAACCAAGGAAGUUUCCUAAGAAAAAGCACAUAAAGUUAUAAAAGCAUUUUUAUGUUGGUAAGUUUUUUCAGUAAUAAAGUAACACAAAAGCUGUACACUAGCCAUUCGAGUCUUGGCGUUUUCAUAGACAUUUUUAUGGGAAUCGUGUUCCAUAGUUAAUAUGAAUGCUUUAAGAACGUCUCUAUUACUUUUCAGAGAAGCGCCCUGGAUUACAUCACCCUGGACCUCUACAGUACCUAAACUGUUCCUCCUUGCCUCAUGAAGGAACGGAAGAGUUAGGACCCAGUGAGAGGCUUGCUGAGGCGUCAGAAUAAGGCUGUAAAGGUGGAACUCUGUUUUCUAUAACAGAUUUUCAAGUAAUCUGAAUGAGACAACAACCUUCUGGAGCUGUUUCCGUGUUGCUGAGGUUGGUGCCCUGAAAACAAUCUACUUCCGUGUUUCCAACUGCACUCCUUCCGGGCCAUCAGUGAAGAGUAAGGAGAGCCCAGAGAGGGAAGAGCCUGUAAGCAGGGCUUUGGUUACAGUCCCCCAACGAAGCACUGCAGCUGGCCUCUCUACAGGCCGGCAAGGCCGGCAGCACUGUUGGAACCUCCGCCUUGCAGCUCUCCAGUUGUCUUCCCUCCCUGUUCCCAGUGGCAAGAGUACAGCAGCUGCUAACACACUGCUCCAUUACUUCAGUAAGGAUUUCCUUUCGCGUCUUAUGUCUGCUUGACUAUAUGCUUCUUCCUCCAUCUCUACCCCAGGCAGGGCCUCCCCCUGGACGGCCUAGAACUCACUGCGGGCAGACUGGCCUCAGACUUGUAGGAUAGUGGAUCAUACCAGGAAAUUUGGUAAGGUGGAGUGGGGUCUGUUCCCCAGGCAUACACACCUGAGAUGGUAUGCAGCUCUGCUCCCUGCCAAAUCCCUGGCCUGCCAGACUUCCCACAUAAGAAAACAUGAGGCCUCAACAGUUCUCCAUGCUAAUGAGGUACCUAGAGGCCCUGCAAAAGGUGUCUGAUCCAUUUUCCAUGACGAACAACCAAUAAAGAGUUUGGAACCAAGGACUGUCUCAUCUACCACUGUCAUGGGGAAGCAUGGGGAAGGCCUUCACCUACAGCACCACUGCCUAGGUCUUCCAUAGAAGGUCUCCCAACCGUGCUUCCAGCCAACCGAAACCAGAUUUAGGACAAUUACCACAGAGCUAAGUAGAAGCUCCCAGCCCCAGCUCAGGGUUAGACUCGGUCAGCCCAAGGGCCCCCAGCAAUCCUGGCCUCAUUGAGGCCUGUGGACUCCUGGCACUUUGUUCCUGACAGCCCCCAGUGGCAACUGGGUGCCCAGGGGUCAGGAAUAUAUCAGUUCUGAAUUUCUCACAUCUCAGGCUGUACUUGCCCACCCACAGCAGUGUCUUGGUGUCUGUGUGCUCCCAUGAAGCCCAGCACCCACCCAGCUGUGCAUUUCACCUCCCCAGGAGCCCUGCAGAGUGGCAGGUCCCACACAGACUCAUGGAGAUUCUCCUGCCCAUGUCCUGCCUGCCUUCUGAGUGCUGGGACUAAUAGUGUGUGCUCACACCAGGCGAGACACAAUUCUUUCUGCUCUGUGCCUCUUCUUACUCAGCCGCCUGCAUGCUUCUCACAUUUAGAGCAAAACUCAGACUUUUCUAUGACCACCAGAUUUUGUGAUUGAGCCCAUGCUUUUCCCGAUCUCCCAUCGUUUCCUUUGUAACUCAUUAGGCUUCUUUAAAAAAAUGACUGCUACUGCUGUGAGGACGGAACCCUGUGCCUGGCAUGCUAAGCAAGCGCUGUAUCACUGAGCAAGAUGCUCAGCCCGGCUCGCCCCACGCUCUUGAACACAGUGCUCUCCCGCAGAGCCUUUGCACACACUAUUCUCUGUGGCUAAGUUGCCUGGGUCUUUGCCAAGUCCACUUCCUCUCUUUACGCAGUUCUCUUCUCAAAGUCGGACUUACAGCCUUCUAACAACUCCAUCGAUAGCACUGGUUCUCAGCUUUCCUCAUGCUGAGACCCUUCAAUACAGUUCCUCAUGUUGUGGUGAGCCCAGCCAUAAAAUGAUUUUCACUGACAUCUGAUGCAUGACCCCGGGCCCCCUCCCUGUCACACUGUUUCCUCAUUGCAAUAUAAUAUAAACUUUAUAGAGGCAAAGGUCCCUGGCUCAGAGUUAAGGUAUUCAGUAAGUUCCAGGAAACAGGUAGAGUUAAGGAACUGUAGGGAUCGUAACAAAUACUGGAGGAAACAGACCAAAGUACCUGCCAAGAAGACACUGUCCAAGUAAGACAGAAGACGUAAUGCAUAUUCACUCAUCUAGAACAUAAUACAAGUGAGAUAAAAACACUGCACUUGGUGAUGGACCAGAAGAGCAUUUCCCAAAACUCGUGAACAAACUGUAUCUGCAGAAAACGCUUAAACAAAAAUGGGCUUCAAUUUUGAGGCACAUCCUGGUUAGGCUGUUUUUGUUGUUUGAGUGAAAUAAGAUCUCCCGUAGUCCAGGCUGAUGUUGCCCUUGAACUCUAGAUCCUCCUGCCUGCACGUCUUGGGAUCUGGGAUUAGAGGCAUGUGCUCCCAUACUUGGAUACUGUGGAUAAUCAGAUGUGAAAGGAAGGAAAAUCUUUUCAGACCUCCAGGCAGAAGACACAAUCAUGUGCAAGAAAGGAAGACCUCUAGCUGACCUUGCCCUUCCUCUAAGCAAUUAUGUAUCAGAAAAUAAAAA